rnacentral:rRNA from 1 species
CCUACGGGAGGCAGCAGUGAGGAAUAUUGGACAAUGGGCGCAAGCCUGAUCCAGCCAUGCCGCGUGCAGGAUGACGGUCCUAUGGAUUGUAAACUGCUUUUGCACAGGAAGAAACAACGCUACGUGUAGCGUCUUGACGGUACUGUGAGAAUAAGGAUCGGCUAACUCCGUGCCAGCAGCCGCGGUAAUACGGAGGAUCCAAGCGUUAUCCGGAAUCAUUGGGUUUAAAGGGUCCGUAGGCGGUUUAGUAAGUCAGUGGUGAAAGCCCAUCGCUCAACGGUGGAACGGCCAUUGAUACUGCUAGACUUGAAUUAUUAGGAAGUAACUAGAAUAUGUAGUGUAGCGGUGAAAUGCUUAGAGAUUACAUGGAAUACCAAUUGCGAAGGCAGGUUACUACUAAUAUAUUGACGCUGAUGGACGAAAGCGUGGGUAGCGAACAGGAUUAGAUACCCUGGUAGUCCACGCCGUAAACGAUGGAUACUAGCUGUUGGGAGCAAUUUCAGUGGCUAAGCGAAAGUGAUAAGUAUCCCACCUGGGGAGUACGUUCGCAAGAAUGAAACUCAAAGGAAUUGACGGCNGAGAGNGCGAGGACGACGACGAGGGAGGAGG